UACGUAGGGGGCUAGCGUUGUCCGGAAUCAUUGGGCGUAAAGAGCGUGUAGGCGGCCCGGUAAGUCCGCUGUAAAAGUCAAAGGCUCAACCUUUGAAUGUCAGUGGAUACUGCCGGGCUAGAGUCCGGAAGAGGUGAGUGGAACUCCGAGUGUAGAGGUGAAAUUCGUAGAUAUUCGGAAGAACACCAGUGGCGAAGGCGGCUCACUGGUCCGGUACUGACGCUGAGGUGCGAAAGCGUGGGGAGCAAACAGG
rnacentral:rRNA from 1 species